UCUGACUCACCACCCACCUUCUCAGUGGAUAAUCAGGCGACAAUACACUGAAUGCAACACAAACACAGCAGAACCAAAAGGAAGCUCGUGAUUUUUCCUUCAAAGUCAGCUCCUCGGGUAAAUACACCAACUCUGUUGGCAUAUUUGGCGUACUCUGUUGGCCAACAUUCUCCUGGAAUCCCUAGGAGAAUGCCAUUCUCCUAGGGAUGCCACUCAAAGCUGAGAGCCAUCUUUACUCCUUGCCUCUUUCUCAACUCCCACACCUAGUCAUCAUGUUAAGACAUCAUUCAGUGCUUCUUAGAUCUGGCUCUUCUGCCUGUGCCACCCACAAGUCUACCUUGACACUGCCUCCUAACUGGUUCCCCUCCUUCCUCCAGCUUCCCCACAUAAUCUGACUCACCACCCCCAGAUCUACCUAAUUCUCCCUGUAUUCAGCACACUCCUUCCCCUCUACCAUUGUCUGUCAAAUCAUUUCUAAACUCCUUAGUCUGGUAGUUCAGAUCAUGUGUGAUCCAGCCACAGUGCAGUGUACUUUUCUUAUCUCUGACUCCUCUACAAAUAACUAUGCUUCAGCUAACCUGUUCUACUCACCCUUUCCAAAAUAUGUCUUAGCCUUUUGAACCUUCACAUCUUUGCUGUUUGAUUUACCUAAAAAGCCCUGGCCCUCUCCCUGUCAAAAGUGGUCCCUCUUUAAAUGCUUAGUCCAUGAAGUCACUUCUCUGUGAAGCCUUCCCAGUAUGAUGCAGUGGAGAGAACUUCAGAACCUGAACAGUCAGACCCUAGGGCUGACUUCCUACCAGAGCAAGCCCAGAUGAGUACAUUGAGACACUGAGUGGUUAAAUGACUUGCCCAAGGCACCAGCUAAUCAGUACAAGAGCGAAGAUCCAAGUUCAAGCAAUCUGGAUUCAUCUUGCACUCUUGUCUAGGGGAAGUUGGAACAAUGAUGAACUUAAACACAAAUCUAUGACCAUUCACCAGAACCAAUAUCUUAUAAGCCAUGUUUGUUCAUAGGACCAGUAUCUCAUAGCUGUGUUUGUUUGCAGAAAGCAAUUAAAAAGAAGAACACAUUUGAUUGGAUCCUGUGAUCAUCAUCAAACCCAUUUCUCCUUGGUUUUCAAAAUCCUCCGUAAGAAGUAGUAUCACCUGGCAAUAAUUUUUGAAAAGUCAAGAGGCAAAUUCUGGUGACAUUCUUCAGCUCUAAAUCAAACCUCACCUGAGAUUGGAACACUCCAUGAAUUUCUCUCUCUCUUUUUAAUUAUAUUAAUGAAUUAAUUUCCCUCUUAAAAAUCUGUUUGAGCUUCAAUAGAAGGACCCAUAACCAAUGUAUCCUCUUUUUCAAUCACUACUAUCCCCAUUCAGCCAAAGGGAUUUUCUCAGAGGUGUACCCAUGACCUGAGCCAGUCUAUUCAGAGUGGAUCUCAAUACUUCUGUAGUAUGAUGAAAAAAGAAGCUCUACUGGACUUGAAAUUGGGGAGACAUGAACUGGGAGAUGCUAUCCCCAAGGUUGCCAGAAUCUACCAUACAGAGUCCAGGGAACCUACUCAGCCAGGGGAAGGUAGGGCCAAGAGAUGUAGAGAAACUGAAACCUAUGACAGCAUUUCAGUCCUGAAUCCUUCUCAGUACCUUAAAUCAAUAAAUUCCACUUUUUGGUUAAGUUUUAUCAUUAGUGAUUGAAAGUUCUAAGCCACCCCUUUAAUAUUUCUCAAUUCAUUUUCUCCUCUCAUCUGACCUUGCCUUAAUUCUCGUUGACAUCCCUUCUUUAUGGGAAGCCCCAGUUAUACAUUGUUGUCUUAGAAAAACCCUAAAAUGGAGUAGCUUAAAACAGCAAUGACUUAUUAGUUCUCCUGAUCCUGUGUGUUGCCCAUGCGCCAGCGCUGGGAUUUAUUAGUCGGCUUUCCCACGGUAACAAAUGACUCCCUGAGUUGGCCCGUAACAACCAAGGUUCCUCACUCUGCUAUUGCAUGUUCCCCACUACAUCAGAUAAAGCUCUGCUUCUGCUCUCCAUGUGCUUUCACAUUCUGAGACCAAGCCUGCAGAAAUAGCUCCUAUCACAGACACCAUUUCUAUGGCAGAAUGGAAGAAAGCAAGACAGUGGGUGGAAAAACACACAAUGGCCCAUCCUGUCACACCUUACUGAUCAAAGCAAGGCCCCGGCUUUGAGGGCUCCCCAUUAGCUGUUAGGGUAAAUUAGGUUGACACUCCAGGUUCUUUAUGAGAGGUUAAGUAAGAUAAGAUAAUAUAAGGAGAUACAUGUACACACAUAAACACAGAAAGGAGAUUUUGUAUGUAUAGGUGUAUACACACAUAGAGUAUGUAUACCACUUUUGAGAUACACACACACAUAUGUUUGUAACUCUGGACUUCCACAUGGAAGGUAGAAUAUCAGUCUCAAUCUGAGAUCUGGGACCAGUUCUUUUCCAAUCAUGGAAAAUUGGGGGAAUGCCCACCCAAACAAGUCAAGCUUCUCUUGAACCUGCUAGGAUUGUAGGUCUUCAUUCUAGUAACUGGGAUCUAGCUUUUUUUUUUUCUCUCUCUCUCUCUUCUCUUAAUUGUAGUAAGAAACACAUAACAUGCAAUUUACCGUCUUAGCCAUUUUUAAAUCUACAGGACAGUCGUGUUACACAUGCACUCUUGUACAACAGAUCUCCUGAACUUUUUUGUCUCGACUGAAACUCUACACCCGUGGAACAAGAACUCCUCAUUUUCCCGUCCCUCCAGCGCUAGGAUCCAGUCUUUUGCUCCAACUGCAGGAUCACAGAAGCUCUGCUGGACUUUCCUGGCACCAACAGCCCACCUGCCAGGGAUGCUUGGUUCCAUGCUGUAUUCAUACAACCCGCAUCCCACAGCUUCUUCUCAAAGUCUACUACUGGGUCUGCCCCCAAGUACAGCCCUACCCAUGAGCCUCUAAUUUCCACCUCCAUGCUGGCUACCAGUUAGGAGCAAGGUAAUAAUACUGGUAACAUAAAAUAACAAUAGUAUUUAUCCUUUAUGGCAUAUGUCCUAUUUCAUUCUAGAUGCCUGACAGAUAUGCUCUCUAAUCCCUACAUAACCUAGAAGUACUGCUAUUCCCAGGUGUGUCUCUGUUUUCAUCAGGCACCAUUCUUGAUGUAGAUCUCAACCUUUGUUCAAAUCCUCCAGAACAACCCACCAGCACCAGAAGUAUUUGUAAGAAACUGUGGAAUUUACUGAAGCCUUCCCAGAGUGGAGCAGAGGUUUACACUGCAUAUCCCAAUAAAAGUUAAAAUCCUCAACAGAAGUGACUUUUCUCUAAUGUCCUCUUUUGCUGUGCUAUCAUCAAGCCUCCUCUUCCUCCCACCUCCAGGGUUUAGCCUCUUCAAUUUUAUGCUGAGUGUACAAUAAAGAAACAGGUAACAGAAUAUGUAACUAAAUAGAACUUAAACAAUAAAGUUUAUUAUCUCUGGAGGUAUCAUUUUCAGGCUUGGUUAAUUCAGAAGCACAACGAUGUCAUCAAGCACCCAACUCAGGUACUUUCUGUCUUUCCCUCUUUGCCAUCCACAGCCUGUAGGUUUUCAUCCUGAGAGUUGUCCCUCAUGGUUACAGGAUGGUUGCCAUAGCUCUAGGAAUUAUAUCUGCAGGUAAUUACAUCUAAAGAUCAGAAGAGGAGAAUUUCUCCUCACUCCCUGCCCACCCAACUCCCCCCAUCACUCUCUCUCUCUCUCUCUCUCUCUCUCACACACACACACACACACACACACACACACCACAAAGGAAAAUGUUUCCCAGAAAUAUUUCAGAACAUUUACCUUUAAAUUCAUACUUGUGCCUUAAUAAUACAAGCUAACAUUGGCAUCUUUCUUCUCUAGACUUGGAAAGUAGGUUGUGGCAGCAAGGAUGAAGGGUGGGGAGAGAAGCGUUGUUGACAAAGAGCCACCAAUGUCAGCCAUACAGAGCACCUCGGUAUCUUUGUGCUCUAAUGCACACAGACUAGCUCACAGCCAUCUAAUACUGCUCAGAGAGGCUUCUUAGAGCCCGACCCUGCUCCUACCCCUAGUGGGAUUAUCAAAGCACAGGUUAUGAAAACUCUUCCCUCAGAAGACAUCUUGGAAUCCCUUUUCCACCAUCUCUAUACACACAGCAAUUCUGCAGAUAGGGCUAUUACCUCAUUUUACAGAUUUGGAAACAGAGCAGAGAAUUUAAGUGACUCACCCAAAGUCAAAUAGCUAUCAAACUGUAGAUCAGAGUUUGAACCCAGGGCUGUCUGUCUCCAGUGCCCUUGCUGCCAAUGAAAGCAGAACCAAAGGGGCUGCAACUGACCAGAAGGGUAGUAAGGUUCUGGGCCCGGCGGUGACUGAAAACCAUCACAAGGUUCUAAGGAGGAAUGUCUUUUCAGUUCUCAGCUGUCUCUAAAAGAUAAGACAGAGCAGUGCUAUUAGCCCUUGGCUGAGUACAUGGAGGUAUUUGAAAGCAUCUGAAUGAACACAAGCCUUGCUUCUGAGUUCCUGGCACCCAAUCCUUUAAGUGGGGCCUGGGGAGAUCUUCAUUCAACAGGAAGCAUUUAUUCAGGACCUGGCCCCUGCCCUGAGAAAAGAGAAAUGCAGAUUCUUGGGCCAGUCUGCCAACCCCAGCCCAUCCACAAGGAUCCUCCAGGUGGUUUGGUGCACUUAAAAUUUGAGGAGGGUGCUGCUCCCGACAGAAACCUUUCCCUGACAUUCUUCCACCCAUCUUGGAUAGUGUUCUAUGAGUCUAUGAAAAUCAAAUGUAAGUAGGUCUAGGGCUCUAGAAGACAAAUUUUAUAUCAAGGCAGCAUUUGCUAUCUUCUAACUGGAUUUGUUUUUACUUUAACUUAAUCUAAGAGCUUCUUUUGAAUAGAUUUUUGGAGAGCUCUCUGGUUGUGCAAUAGGAGGGGGAAAAUAAUGGGGAAAAGAAAAUCACUGGGAAGGGAAAUGAGGGUGCCUGCUGUGGUUUCCCAAUGACAUGGACUGAUCAUGCCAAGCCCUUGAUGACUUACCAAGUUUCUACAUAGGUCAGGUGCAAAGCCUAUUACCUAGGUGUCCACUGGGUGGUCUGGAUUAUGAACAACGGCCCCUCCCAUCUAGAACCCUUUGCUAUUUUGCAAAUGUUUCAAUGGCUCUGCUGAAAGCAGUGAAACAACAGCUGGUGAAUAAUCUCAUUUUAUAUUAAUAGAGCAGUGUUGCCCCAUCCUGGUCCCUCAGUACUUUAUAAACAGAACAUCCUUUCUUUCCCAGGGCAAGGAAGGGAAGUCUCAACCUGUGUGCAUUAGAGCACAAGUAGGGGCAGAAAGGGCCCUUUCCUCACCGACAGAACUCAUUGCAUCCUUUUCAGAUGAAAAUUAAGUUAGGGCAAGGGGGGUGGGAGAGAACACCUUCAUUAAAUCACCAGGCUUUACCUUUGCUAAGAAAUAGCCACAAAGUCUCUUGCCCCAAUGCUGCCCCGGUUUUCUUUAUGUGACGCUCUAUCUGUGGAAGCAAGGUAGAGAUGGGAAGUUAGGUGACAACCCUAAAAGCUAAAUCUGGGCUAUUUUUAAUACUGGGGGUAGCUGGUGGCUUAAUAUUAGCGGAGUCAAAUAAAACAGAAUGUGACAACACUACCGGUUAAUCAGCGCUCCUGCCUGUGCCAGCAGCCUUUUCAACACUGUAGAGAAUUGCAAAGGGAUAAAAUAUAAUCUGUGAUUUCAAGGACUUCAUUUGGCUGGAGGAUUUAUUCGAGAGAAAUGACUAAAGGCAGGGUUGUAAGAUAUAAACAGUAAAGAUACAUUCCUUAGCCGGUUAUAUACUAUCAUUGACGCAUACGGGGUUGGGGGGUAAGCUAAAAUGCUUUGAGAUGAAGCAGCAUUUCUGAGGAUUUUGUGAAAACUUUCUUUUUCUCCAGGAGAAAAGUAAUGCUUUCUUUAACAUUAUUUAACAUUUACUAAAACCGAAUUGGGAAUUCAUGCCCCAAUUCUUUCAGUGUAGAAUAGAUGGAAGUUGCUAGAAGGGAGUUGUUAGGCAGAUUUUCUACAUGUCACCAAAAUAAGUAAGCUAUUCUAGGGCCAGGCACAGAAACUGGAUGAGCACAGGACCUGACUAGAGAGAAGGAAGGAGGAUGGUGGAAAUUUUUAGGUGUAGUUCCUCAUCUCUACCUUUAGUGUGGGUCGAGAUUCCCAUGAUGGUUAAUUCUGUUCAUCAACCUGACUGGGCCAUGUUGCCCAGAUAUAUUCUCAGACAUUAUUCUGGAUGUUUCUGUAAGGGAGUUUUUGACCGAGAUUAACAUUUAAGCAAGUGGACUUUAAGGAAAACAGAUUGCCCUCCAUAAUGUGGGUGACACUCAUCCAAUCAGCUGAAGGCCUGAAUCAAACAGAAGACUGACCUCCCCCAAUCAAGACGGAAUUUUCCAGCCCAGCAGCCUUUGGAUUUGAACUGCAGCACUGGCUCUUCUUAGGUCUCCAGACAGCCAGCUCUCCCUGAAGAUUUUGGGGCUCUGUAAGCCAUUUCCUUAAAAUGUGCAUGUGCGUGUGCAUGUGCGUGUGUGUGUGUCUCUGUGCGUACACACGCAUCCUAUGGGUUCUGUUUCUCUGGAGAACAUUAAGUAAUGUGACCCUUUUGUAAGUUUUUAGAAGGAAUAUUUAUUGAAUGCCUUCUAUGUGCCGAACUGUGGACCCUCUUCCCAGAAAAUUGUGCACAAACACAAAUUUUACAUAGGGUUUUCACGGAAUUACCA